AGCCAUUUGGAGGUAUGAAGAGAUCUUGGAAAUAGAGGCCAUGUGUGUUGAAACAAGACCGAACAACUCCAAGUUCCUGAAGACUUCAUUUCACCAACCCAGAACCUCCUUGAUCAUCACAGUGGUCGAACCAUUUUACAUUUUCACCAGCAAUGAAGGAGGGUUCCUGUUGCUCUACCAUUUGGUACUGUCAGCGUUUUGGAUAUUAGCCGUCCUAAUAGCCUUUGCAUGGAUGAUUGUCUGUCCUCUGUUGGGCCCCUUCUGAAGAGUUGGAGUUGGACUCUGAAUACCUCAAGAGUGGGAGAUUGGUCUUGCCAAUCAGAGAAGCUCCAGGGCUAGCCUAGUGC
rnacentral:lncRNA from 1 species